CGAGGACGAACGCUGGCGGCGUGCUUAACACAUGCAAGUCGAACGGACCGAGCCCCUUCGGGGGCGAAGGUUAGUGGCGAACGGGUGAGUAACGCGUGAGGAACCUGCCUUUCAGAGGGGGACAACAGUUGGAAACGACUGCUAAUACCGCAUAACACAUAUGCUUCGCAUGAAGGAUAUGUCAAAGAUUUUAUCGCUGAAAGAUGGCCUCGCGUCUGAUUAGAUAGUUGGUGGGGUAACGGCCCACCAAGUCGACGAUCAGUAGCCGGACUGAGAGGUUGAACGGCCACAUUGGGACUGAGAUACGGCCCAGACUCCUACGGGAGGCAGCAGUGGGGAAUAUUGGGCAAUGGGCGCAAGCCUGACCCAGCAACGCCGCGUGAAGGAAGAAGGCUUUCGGGUUGUAAACUUCUUUUACCAGGGACGAAGGAUGUGACGGUACCUGGAGAAAAAGCCACGGCUAACUACGUGCCAGCCGCCGC
rnacentral:rRNA from 1 species